CUCGGGCCUACUCCUACGGGAGGCAGCAGUGGGGGACUUUGGACAUGGGCGAAAGCCUGAUCCCAGCGACGCCGCGUGAGGGACGAAGCCCUUUCGGGGUGUAAACCUCUGUUGUGAGGGACGAAUAAGAUCUGGAGGGAAAUGCCAGAUCGAUGACGGUACCUCACGAGAAAGCCCUGGGCUAACUACGUGCCAGCAGCCGCGGUAAUACGUAGGGGGCGAGCGUUACCCGGAUUCACUGGGCGUAAAGGGGGCGCAGGCGAUCCAGUAUGUCGGGUGUGAAAUCCCACAGCUCAACUGUGGAAUUGCGCCCGAAACUACUGGGUUUGGGGCUGGUAGAGGGAGACGGAACUGCUGGUGUAGGGGUGAAAUCCGUAGAUAUCAGCAGGAACGCCGGUGGGGAAGCCGGUCUCCUGGGCCAAGCCCGACGCUGAGGCCCGAAAGCUAGGGGAGCAAACCGGAUUAGAUACCCGGGUAGUCCUAGCCGUAAACGAUGCCCACUAGGUGUGGGGGAGUCAUUCCUCCGUGCUGUAGCUAACGCGUUAAGUGGGCCGCCUGGGGAGUACGCCCGCAAGGGUGAAACUCAAAGGAAUUGGCGGGACCCCGCACAAGCGGUGGAGCGUGUGGUUUAAUUGGAUGCUAAGCCAAGAACCUUACCAGGGCUUGACAUGCAGGCGGUACCAACCCGAAAGGGAAGGGACCCUUUCCUUUUGGAAAGGGAGCCUGCACAGGUGGUGCACGGCCGUCGUCAGCUCGUGCCGUGAGGUGUUGGGUUAAGUCCCGCAACGAGCGCAACCCCUGCCCUUAGUUGCCAGCGGUUCGGCCGGGCACUCUAAGGGGACCGCCGGCGACGAGCCGGAGGAAGGAGGGGACGACGUCAGGUACUCGUGCCCUUUAUGCCCUGGGCUACACACGCGCUACAAUGGGUGGUACAGUGGGUCGCGACCUCGCGAGAGGGAGCCAAUCCCCAAAACCAUCCUCAGUUCAGAUCGCAGGCUGCAACCCGCCUGCGUGAAGCCGGAAUCGCUAGUAAUCGCGGAUCAGCCAUGCCGCGGUGAAUACGUUCCCGGGGUU
rnacentral:rRNA from 1 species